CCCGUCUUGGGUUCACAUCUGGAGAGUUUCUGGUACUCUACCAGUCUUGGCUACAAGAGGGAGAGUCACUCAGAGACAUACCCAUUCCAUUCCUAGCUUGGGCAGUGGCUAAUGAGUGGAAGGCAGUCUGCUACAAGU